GGGCCCAUAGCUCAGUUGGUAGAGCGCUUCCAUGGCAUGGAAUAGGUCGUCGGUUCGAAUCCGAUUGGGUCCA
rnacentral:tRNA from 2 species